rnacentral:rRNA from 1 species
GUGCCAGCAGCCGCGGUAAUACGUAGGAUCCAAGCGUUGUCCGGAUUUACUGGGUGUAAAGGGUGCGCAGGCGGGCUGGUAAGUCAGUAGUGAAAUCUCGGCGCUCAACGCCGAAACGUCUUUUGAUACUACCAGUCUUGAAUAAGCGAGAGAUCCGUGGAAUUCCGAGUGUAGCAGUGAAAUGUGUAGAUAUUCGGAAGAACACCAGAGGCGAAGGCAGCGGGUUGGCGCUUUAUUGACGCUCAGGCACGAAAGCAUGGGGAUCAAACAGGAUUAGAAACCCUGGUAGUCC